AGUGAACGCUGGCGGUAGGCCUAACACAUGCAAGUCGAACGGCAGCACAGUAAGAGCUUGCUCUUACGGGUGGCGAGUGGCGGACGGGUGAGGAAUACAUCGGAAUCUACUUUUUCGUGGGGGAUAACGUAGGGAAACUUACGCUAAUACCGCAUACGACCUACGGGUGAAAGCAGGGGAUCUUCGGACCUUGCGCGAUUGAAUGAGCCGAUGUCGGAUUAGCUAGUUGGCAGGGUAAAGGCCCACCAAGGCGACGAGCCGUAGCUGGUCUGAGAGGAUGAUCGGCCAAACUGGAACGGAGACACGGUCGAGACUCCUACGGGAGGAAGCAGUAGGGAAUGUUGCGGAAUGGGGGAAAGCCGGACGGAGCAACGCAGCGUGAGUGAUGAAGGUCUUCGGAUAGUAAAACUAUGUUAUUAGGGAAGAACAAAUGUGUAAGUAACUAUGCACGUCUUGACGGUACAUAAUCAGAAAGCCAAGGCUAACUACGUG
rnacentral:rRNA from 1 species